rnacentral:rRNA from 1 species
AGUUUGAUCCUGGCUCAGGAUGAACGCUAGCCACAGGCUUAACACAUGCAAGUCGAGGGGCAGCAUGGUCUUAGCUUGCUAAGGCUGAUGGCGACCGGCGCACGGGUGAGUAACACGUAUCCAACCUGCCGUCUACUCUUGGCCAGCCUUCUGAAAGGAAGAUUAAUCCAGGAUGGGAUCAUGAGUUCACAUGUCCGCAUGAUUAAAGGUAUUUUCCGGUAGACGAUGGGGAUGCGUUCCAUUAGAUAGUAGGCGGGGUAACGGCCCACCUAGUCAACGAUGGAUAGGGGUUCUGAGAGGAAGGUCCCCCACAUUGGAACUGAGACACGGUCCAAAUCCUACGGGAGGCAGCAGUGAGGAAUAUUGGUCAAUGGGCGAUGGCCUGAACCAGCCAAGUAGCGUGAAGGAUGACUGCCCUAUGGGUUGUAAACUUCUUUUAUAAAGGAAUAAAGUCGGGUAUGCAUACCCGUUUGCAUGUACUUUAUGAAUAAGGAUCGGCUAACUCCGUGCCAGCAGCCGCGGUAAUACGGAGGAUCCGAGCGUUAUCCGGAUUUAUUGGGUUUAAAGGGAGCGUAGAUGGAUGUUUAAGUCAGUUGUGAAAGUUUGCGGCUCAACCGUAAAAUUGCAGUUGAUACUGGAUGUCUUGAGUGCAGUUGAGGCAGGCGGAAUUCGUGGUGUAGCGGUGAAAUGCUUAGAUAUCACGAAGAACUCCGAUUGCGAAGGCAGCCUGCUAAGCUGCAACUGACAUUGAGGCUCGAAAGUGUGGGUAUCAAACAGGAUUAGAUACCCUGGUAGUCCACACGGUAAACGAUGAAUACUCGCUGUUUGCGAUAUACGGCAAGCGGCCAAGCGAAAGCGUUAAGUAUUCCACCUGGGGAGUACGCCGGCAACGGUGAAACUCAAAGGAAUUGACGGGGGCCCGCACAAGCGGAGGAACAUGUGGUUUAAUUCGAUGAUACGCGAGGAACCUUACCCGGGCUUAAAUUGCACUCGAAUGAUCCGGAAACGGUUCAGCUAGCAAUAGCGAGUGUGAAGGUGCUGCAUGGUUGUCGUCAGCUCGUGCCGUGAGGUGUCGGCUUAAGUGCCAUAACGAGCGCAACCCUUGUUGUCAGUUACUAACAGGUGAUGCUGAGGACUCUGACAAGACUGCCAUCGUAAGAUGUGAGGAANGUGGA